GGGUAAGUCUUGUACGACCAGCUCCCACAGAACUCCCCCAGGACGGGAACGUAGCAAGGGUAUGUGGUUGUAGCGGUGCGAUGCAAGUAGCUUGCCCUUU
rnacentral:SRP_RNA from 1 species